rnacentral:tRNA from 1 species
GAGGGUAUAGCUCAGUGGUAGAGUGUACGCUUAGGGUGCAUGAGGUCAUGGGUUCAAUCCCCAGUACCUCCA